rnacentral:rRNA from 1 species
ACGGAAGGCAGCAGUGGGGAAUAUUGGGCAAUGGGGGAAACCCUGACCCAGCAACGCCGCGUGAAGGAAGAAGGCCUUCGGGUUGUAAACUUCUUUUACCAGGGACGAUAAUGACGGUACCUGGAGAAAAAGCAACGGCUAACUACGUGCCAGCAGCCGCGGUAAUACGUAGGUUGCAAGCGUUGUCCGGAUUCACUGGGUGUAAAGGGCGUGUAGGCGGAGCUGCAAGUCAGAUGUGAAAUCCCGGGGCUCAACCCCAUGAACUGCAUUUGAAACUGUAUCUCUUGAGUGUCGGAGAGGUAGACGGAAUUCCUAGUGUAGCGGUGAAAUGCGUAGAUAUUAGGAGGAACACCAGUGGCGAAGGCGGUCUACUGGACGAUAACUGACGCUGAGGCGCGAAAGCGUGGGGAGCAAACAGGAUUAGAUACCCUGGUA